rnacentral:rRNA from 1 species
UACGGAGGGUGCAAGCGUUAUCCGGAUUCACUGGGUUUAAAGGGUGCGUAGGCGGGUUGGUAAGUCCGUGGUGAAAUCUCCGAGCUUAACUCGGAAACUGCCGUGGAUACUAUCAAUCUUGAAUAUCGUGGAGGUAAGCGGAAUAUGUCAUGUAGCGGUGAAAUGCUUAGAGAUGACAUAGAACACCAAUUGCGUAGGCAGCUUACUACACUGAUCAUUGACGCUGAGGCACGAAAGCGUGGGGAGCAAACAGG